GGGGGUCUAGCUCAGUGGUAGAGCGCUCGCUUCGCGUGUGAGAAGUCGCGGGUUCAAACCCCGAAACCUCCA
rnacentral:tRNA from 1 species